GGGACAGAAGGGACAAGAGGAAAAGAGAAUAGAAGGAGAAAUGGAAGCAGUGCUUUUGUAAAUGAGGGGAAGAAGGGUCAAACAGAGGGGAGGAGAAUGGAGAAAAAAAGCAAGAUAUGUCCUGUACAGGCACAGAUUCCCUAUGAUGAAUGUUAUUGUGUAUAUCUAAAAUGUACUGAUCACACACACACACCCCAAAAAGUAAAAUGUCCCUCAGAGGCCGGCUGAUGGGCUUUUGGGCAGUGACGGAUGAUGAAAGCAUCAACCUCCUCCAUGCAUUAACCUGUUGGUGAGUUCAUAGCUGAUGGGCUGCUAGGAGGUAUGGCCUGCUGCAGGGAGUGAAUCAUGGACGUGUGACCUGGGGACUGUAUCUCAUCUCCCGUCUUGGUCUCUUGUCUCUGUCUCUGUUUCUUUCUCUUUCUCUCUCUCCCCUUUCUCUCUGCUUCCUGGCUGUCAUGAAGUAAGAAGCUGUCCUCUGCCACGCCUGCCUCUUGGAAUGUUUCUUUUUGCCUGUUCAUCGCGGACUGGACUUAACCUCUGAUAGAGUGAAGCCAAAAGAGAUGUUUCCUCCUUAAAUUGCUUUCUCAGAUACUGUGACGCAGCAAUGGAAAGGUGACCGGCGCACAGGCUAGGAGUCAACAAAGGGAGCCAGUUCCCUAACAGCUUUGUCUUGUAUUCCUGACCAACUCAGCGUCUAUGGGCCUUUUUACUGUACUUCCUGUGUACGGACUUUGAAGGUGGGUUCCACUGUAUUGUCGUACAUUGCUAAGGAACUCAUCACUCUUGUCUCAUUCUCAUCUGCCAUUUAAGAGGCAUCACAGCGUGAAUCUAGGCAGUAAUUUCCUAGGUUGAUGGAUUGGGGUUAAAAAGCAAGAGUUGUGUAAGGAGAACAUUUCUGUGUCUUUCCUUACCACGAGUGAAUAUCAGACCAUGAAACUAGAUGGUUCAGGUGACAAAAUGAUACGUGCGUGUCCCACAAGACUCCUCCAGGCUGUAAUGAAGGAAGCCAGAGAACCAGACGAUGUGCUCAGGCAGCAGAACGUUUUGCUUGAACUCGACAGCCUUAAGCCCUGGGGAUAUGCAAAGAUACAGAACAAACUUGGUGUCUCCACGAAGGAUCGAUACGUCUGGCUACAGACAGCUUUCCGUGUUCUUCCAUCUAAAAUUGUGUUCUGGACAGUCAGAAGUCUCCAGGAUGCAGAUGUGCCGCCAUAGUAUUGAGCUGCAGGCAGUAGCAGGGCAGUGUUUAAAAUAAGAGCUCAUCCUGUUUGUAUCUCUCAAGUGUGAGGAAACAAGACUGGCAGCUGGAAAGGAGAAGCAAACAAAUAAACAACUGUGAUUCUGUGGUAUCCAGGCAUGAUUUUCUCCUCGCCGAGCUAGAUUGGACCCAUUGCUGUGUGUGGUCAGCUUCCUGCUGCAGGGUGGGGCUGCUCUGGUCCAGAGCGGGCCACGCAAAUGACCUCGGUGGCGGUAUACCUGGGGUAGCUCUACUGCCUCUCAACAUAUGCAGCCGGGAUGUUCUUUCUGAUUUCUCAGAAGUGGAGUCCCUGGGAUAGCUGGGCAGGGGAAGAAAAGUGCACCAAGACAGCUGGAAGCCGGACUGCAAAAGAGAGCUGGGAGACCAUCAGACGCAGACAUAGAACUCAAGGAAAGCAGUAAUCUGAGGCUGUGUAAUCCGAGAAAUUGGAGGCAGCCUAAAACCUUUUAAUCUUCUUCCUGUUAACUCAGGCUCAUUAAACAGAUGCGUACUGCACCUUAGUGAGCACAAGUCAUUAAGGAGAAGUUGGAUUAUGUUAGUAGAAGUGUAGGUGAGGAUGUUACACAUUGUGAAAAAUAUUUCAUUCGAAAUGGGUAGAAAUAGAGGUACAAUAUAAGCUUGUGGUGGCAAACUCAGCUAGACUGCUGUAUUCCCAGAGCACAUCUGUGCAGAAGCAGAUGACUGACCAUCUGCUUUUCUUCAGGCCUGUAACCACAGUACAAGCUACUCUCAUCCUCGGGUUCCUUACCAUCUUUAGGGGAGACUCCAAUG
rnacentral:lncRNA from 1 species